UUCCUUUUUUUUUUUUCUUCAUCGGCCUUUCUCUUCUCCUUCAUCACCUUUCUCCCAAAGCUGGCUCACCUCUUCUUAUUCAUGAAGAUUUCUUCACUUAGUUGCCUUUUUGCCAAACAACCUGGUUUUAUCUCUCAGGUCACUAAAAUUCCAUACAUACCUGUUCAAUUUGAUAGUUCAGAAUUCGGAAUUAGGGUAUUGUGAAGAAAGAGAAUUUUAAAAGAAUUAGGGUAUUGCGUUGCCACCUCGUUACAAAAAAUUCCUUUUUCUUCCACGCAAUCCAAUACCCAAUAGCCCAAACCCCUCUCCAUCGUCUUUUCGUUUCCUCUGCCUUUUGUUUUUUUAAGAAAAAAAAACAUUACAUUACUCAAAAAUUUAAUUUAAUAUCCUUUUUCAACCUUCUCGUUGUUAUUUCUUUUUGUUCCUUUGGUGUUUCUUCAACCCUUGUUUUAUGUUUCCGCGAACCAGAGAAUCAGCCAAACUGUUUUUCUAGAUUGUUAAGGCUUCAAAAGAAGCUGCGUACGUCAGAGACCUCUCAGAUGAUUUGCUGCAGCCAACUACAAAACGGUCUCACAAUGUCUCAACCAAGGAAGUCAUAUUCUGGAAAAUUUUUAAGUGCCAACAAUUGAAGUGUUCCCUGCAGCUGCUCUAACACCUGCACUAGCAGCACCAGAGAUGAGAAUGAACUGAGGGAGGAAUCAGAAGCCCUUUGUUGGAGAACCCGAAUAUAUCCCCCUAGAAAGGCCAAGGUGUUAUUACUCUUUGUACUGACUCUUUCGAAUGUGUUAAUGGAUGAUGC